UACUCAUCUAUUGAACAAGAGGAGAACAGAUCUCUGACUGCUGAAGUAUAAAUACAAACAACGGAGUCAAAUUGGAAAUAGGAUAACAGCUGUUUUGAUGGCAAAGUAGUGUGGAGAACAAAGCUUGGGACUGAGAUUGAAACAAAAAGAAGUGACAACUUCUUUGCUCCUUGAAUUGAAGCCAGGGUCGCAGAACAGAGCUGGCCUACCUGCAGGCUGACCAUUUGACCUGGGAGAUCCCAAGCCCCAAGGGAGGGGCCAAGAAGUUGAAACGAAGGCACUCACAAUCUCCCUUUCUUAACAGACUGUGUCUCAUAAGAGGGAAAAC
rnacentral:lncRNA from 1 species